rnacentral:rRNA from 1 species
AACGAACGCUGACGGUGUGCCUCAUACAUGCAAGUCGAGCGGACUCAGCAAUGGGUUAGCGGCGGACGGGUGAGUAACACGUGAACAAUCUGCCCUCGAAUCUGGGAUAACAGUUCCAACGAGCUGCUAAUACCGGGUAGGUUAGUUUCGUCGCAUGGCGAGACUAAGAGAGUUCCAAUUGGAACUUUCGAGGAUGAGUUCGCGGCCCAUUAGCUAGUUGGCGGGGUAAAGGCCCACCAAGGCAACGAUGGGUAGCCGGCCUGAGAGGGUGAUCGGCCACAUUGGGACUGAGAUACGGCCCAGACUCCUACGCGAGGCAGCAGUAGGGAAUUUUGCGCAAUGGACGAAAGUCUGACGCAGCAAC